rnacentral:rRNA from 1 species
UAGAGUUUGAUCAUGGCUCAGGACGAACGCUGGUGGCGUGCUUAACACAUGCAAGUCGAGCGAGGCGUCCGCUUUCGGGUGGAUAGUCGAGCGGCGAACGGGUGAGUAACACGUGAGCAAUCUUCUGCGGCUUCGGGAUAACCUCGGGAAACUGAGGCUAAUACCGGAUGUGCGUUUUUCGGGGCCUCCUGGAGAACGGAAAGGUUUCGUGCUGUGAGGUGCGGUUCCGGCCGUGGAUGGGCUCGCGGCCUAUCAGCUUGUUGGUGCGGUAAUGGCGUACCAAGGCGACGACGGGUAGCCGGCCUGAGAGGGUGACCGGCCACACUGGGACUGAGAUACGGCCCAGACUCCUACGGGAGGCAGCAGUGGGGAAUCUUGCGCAAUGGGCGGAAGCCUGACGCAGCAACGCCACGUGGGGGAUGACGGCCUUCGGGUUGUAAACCUCUUUCGGUCUUGACGAAGGCAUCUCGUUGUGGGGUGUUGACGGUAGGGACAGAAGAAGCACCGGCUAACUACGUGCCAGCAGCCGCGGUAAUACGUAGGGUGCAAGCGUUAUCCGGAAUUAUUGGGCGUAAAGAGCUCGUAGGCGGUUUGUCACGUCUGCUGUGAAAACUGGAGGCUCAACUUCCAGCUUGCAGUGGGUACGGGCAGACUUGAGUGCGGUAGGGGAGAUUGGAAUUCCUGGUGUAGCGGUGGAAUGCGCAGAUAUCAGGAGGAACACCGAUGGCGAAGGCAGAUCUCUGGGCCGUAACUGACGCUGAGGAGCGAAAGAGUGGGGAGCAAACAGGCUUAGAUACCCUGGUAGUCCACUCCGUAAACGUUGGGAACUAGUUGUGGGGGCCUUUCUACGGUCUCCGUGACGCAGCUAACGCAUUAAGUUCCCCGCCUGGGGAGUACGGCCGCAAGGCUAAAACUCAAAUGAAUUGACGGGG